GGGUUGUGAGGUUAAGCGACUAAGCGUACACGGUGGAUGCCCUGGCAGUCAGAGGCGAUGAAGGACGUGCUAAUCUGCGAUAAGCGUCGGUAAGGUGAUAUGAACCGUUAUAACCGGCGAUUUCCGAAUGGGGAAACCCAGUGUGAUUCGUCACACUAUCAUUAACUGAAUCCAUAGGUUAAUGAGGCGAACCGGGGGAACUGAAACAUCUAAGUACCCCGAGGAAAAGAAAAUCAACCGAGAUUCCCCCAGUAGCGGCGAGCGAACGGGGAGCAGCCCAGAGCCUGAAUCAGUGUGUGUGUUAGUGGAAGCGUCUGGAAAGGCGUGCGAAUACA
rnacentral:rRNA from 1 species